rnacentral:rRNA from 1 species
GAUGAACGCUGGCGGCGUGCCUAAUACAUGCAAGUCGAGCGAACAGAUGAGAAGCCUGCUUCUCUGAUGUUAGCGGCGGACGGGUGAGUAACACGUGGGUAACCUACCUAUAAGACUGGGAUAACUCCGGGAAACCGGGGCUAAUACCGGAUAAUAUUUUGAACCGCAUGGUUCAACAGUGAAAGACGGUUUCGGCUGUCACUUAUAGAUGGACCCGCGCCGUAUUAGCUAGUUGGUAAGGUAACGGCUUACCAAGGCGACGAUACGUAGCCGACCUGAGAGGGUGAUCGGCCACACUGGAACUGAGACACGGUCCAGACUCCUACGGGAGGCAGCAGUAGGGAAUCUUCCGCAAUGGGCGAAAGCCUGACGGAGCAACGCCGCGUGAGUGAUGAAGGUCUUCGGAUCGUAAAACUCUGUUGUUAGGGAAGAACAAAUUUGUUAGUAACUGAACAAGUCUUGACGGUACCUAACCAGAAAGCCACGGCUAACUACGUGCCAGCCGCCGCAGUAA